UGGGGAAUUUUGGACAAUGGGCGAAAGCCUGAUCCAGCAAUGCCGCGUGUGUGAAGAAGGCCUUCGGGUUGUAAAGCACUUUUGUCCGGAAAGAAAUCCUUGGCUCUAAUACAGUCGGGGGAUGACGGUACCGGAAGAAUAAGCACCGGCUAACUACGUGCCAGCAGCCGCGGUGAUACGUAGGGUGCAAGCGUUAAUCGGAAUUACUGGGCGUAAAGCGUGCGCAGGCGGUUUGCUAAGACCGAUGUGAAAUCCCCGGGCUCAACCUGGGAACUGCAUUGGUGACUGGCAGGCUAGAGUAUGGCAGAGGGGGGUAGAAUUCCACGUGUAGCAGUGAAAUGCGUAGAGAUGUGGAGGAAUACCGAUGGCGAAGGCAGCCCCCUGGGCCAAUACUGACGCUCAUGCACGAAAGCGUGGGGAGCAAACAGGAUUAGAUACCCUGGUAGUCCACGCCCUAAACGAUGUCAACUAGUUGUUGGGGAUUCAUUUCCUUAGUAACGUAGCUAACGCGUGAAGUUGACCGCCUGGGGAGUACGGUCGCAAGAUUAAAACUCAAAUGAAUUGACGGGGUCAUAGCUG
rnacentral:rRNA from 1 species